rnacentral:rRNA from 1 species
AUUGAACGCUGGCGGCAGGCCUAACACAUGCAAGUCGAGCGAGCGGCGGACGGGUGAGUAAUGUCUGGGAAACUGACUGAUGGAGGGGGAUAACUAAUGGAAACGGUAGCUAAUACCGAAUACCAUAAGAUGUGCCCAGAGGGGAUUAGCUAGUAGGUGGGGUAACGGCGCACCUAGGCGACGAUCCCUAGCUGGUCUGAGAGGAUGACCAGCCACCCUGGAACGGAGACACGGUCCAGACUCCUACGGGAGGCAGCAGGGGGGAAUAUUGCACAAUGUGCGCAAGCCUGAUGCAGCCAUGCCGCGUGUGUGAAGAAGGCCUUCGGGUUGUAAAGCACUUUCAGCGGGGAGGCGUUACCCGCAGAAGAAGCACCGGCUAACUCCGUGCCAGCAGCCGCGGUAAUUC